ensembl:lncRNA novel transcript
AGUAUAUUCGUUAUUUUGUUUUAAGCAAACCUACACCAAGUUUCAAGGCUUCAAACUCCCUCGACAGUUUGGAAUCUUAUUUUGAAACAAUUCUAGGAAUAGAGGAAGAGAACCAGCGGGGCCAUGGGAAAACAGCCCAGGACCAGACACUAGGAAAUCUAGGUCUCUUGAUAGAGAGGCUAUCACUUAUGUUUUGUGGCGAAAGAACAUCAGCAUGGUUCACAAUAUAUUUUGCCCAGAAUGUUCGUUACCCAGGUACAGGAGAGUCCAUGCCAGUUGUCUUACAGGAAGUCGCAUAUCCUGGAUUGUCUGUUUAUUGCCUCAAGAUUUGAUUUAAGAAACAUUUUGGGCAAGAGCCCCACACAGAGGAUGUGGUGUGCAUCUUAGUAUGUUGCUGAUGUCAGGUAGCUAUUAGUGAUGCCUACACUAUGAAUUCAAUGAACACUUGUUGAAGAAAUGAUCUGGUGCCAGGCAAUCUCCUAAGGACUUGGGAGCUUGACUUCAAAUAGGAGAGAGACAGCUUAUAUAAUCUCCAGAGCCUCCAACAUUGUCCUAGGAGCAGAGUGGAAAAAUGCUUUGUAACAUGAAGGGAAGACUGAAGUGACAUAGCAAAUGGCCCAGCAGCAGCACAGAGGAGAGGGACAGACCCAGAGAAGGGUGAGGUCAAGAGGCUACAGCUGUUCCUCAGCCCCAACCCCCAGACUCACUUCGAUGAUCAUAACUUUUUGGCUGUUGCUUUGGGGAGGGGCAGGCAGCUUGGUGAAAUGCCUGUGACCCAGCUAAGCAUUCAGCUGGAAGACUUCGCAGCAAGGUGCCCAAGGAAACCCUCAGGACAGAGAGGCUGGCAAGUUCAAAGGGCAGCCUGCCAGUCAUUCCUCUGCUGGCCCGUGCCAAGGGUCUAGGCCAGAUUUGGGCCUGGGAGUAUCUAGGGAAAACAUCAAACUAUAGUUUUCACUGCCUUGGUUGUCACAUUUGCCUCCUUCUGUGGCUACCCUCCUUCCACCCCAAAUAAAGGCCAGGGAAAGAAGACAGGAAAAAAGUGAAAACUAAAGAGAAAAUUUUGCUUCAAAGAACUGGUUGUGUGGUUCCCAACUGUCCAUAUGGCACAGGAAAGUCUCAUCUGUGAAACAAAAUAAAGUUCCCUUCCAACACAGA